GAUGAACGCUGGCGGCGUGCCUAAUACAUGCAAGUCGAGCGAACGGACGAGAAGCUUGCUUCUCUGAUGUUAGCGGCGGACGGGUGAGUAACACGUGGAUAACCUACCUAUAAGACUGGGAUAACUUCGGGAAACCGGAGCUAAUACCGGAUAAUAUUUUGAACCGCAUGGUUCAAAAGUGAAAGACGGUCUUGCUGUCACUUAUAGAUGGAUCCGCGCUGCAUUAGCUAGUUGGUAAGGUAACGGCUUACCAAGGCAACGAUGCAUAGCCGACCUGAGAGGGUGAUCGGCCAAACUGGAACUGAGACACGGUCCAGACUCCUACGGGAGGCAGCAGUAGGGAAGAUUCCGCAAUGGGCGAAAGCCUGACGGAGCAACGCCGCGUGAGUGAUGAAGGUCUUCGGAUCGUAAAGCUCUGUUAUUAGGGAAGAACAUAUGUGUAAGUAACUGGGCACAUCUUGACGGUACCUAAUCAGAAAGCCACGGCUAACUACGUG
rnacentral:rRNA from 1 species